rnacentral:misc_RNA from 1 species
UACGUAGGGCGCAAGCGUUGUCCGGAUUUACUGGGCGUAAAGAGCUCGUAGGCGGUCUGUCACGUCUGCCGUGGAAACCUGCAGCUCAACUGUAGGCGUGCGGUGGAUACGGGCAGACUAGAGGGCGGUAGGGGCAAGCGGAAUUCCUGGUGUAGCGGUGAAAUGCGCAGAUAUCAGGAGGAACACCGAUGGCGAAGGCAGCUUGCUGGGCCGUUCCUGACGCUGAGGAGCGAAAGCGUGGGGAGCGAACAGG